GGGCCCAGGGAAGAGUUCAGAUGUCUGCCUGCCUCCGGUGGUGUGCCCUUUACGCAGAGCACAGCCAGAACUCCAGGCUUAAGAGGAAAACACGGGGCCUAUUUCCAGAAACCUGAGAAAGAGAUGAACUAUCUUCUGGCACAGAAGAUAAGGAAAAGCUCUGGGAAAGAUAUUGAGAAAUUGACCUACCAGGAGAUAAGAAAGGUGCCUGUGGAAGCUUCUUACCUCUUGAGGAUAUCUGGAUGGUCAUAUGUCAGAUUUCUGGGAACCAGCCUUGUUGCCCUCAUGGAGCCCUGCAGGAAUUCACAUUCCUCUUAUGGAAUGUGAAUCUGAUUCCCAACGGGAACCACUGGAAAUCUUUUCUCCGCAUGGAAUCGAACCCGGGCCCUGGCAGUGACAGCGCCAAGGCCUAACCACUGGACCAACAGCAGGUUGCACUGAUCACGGUCUUCAGUUCCGUUGUCUGCAGUCAAGGUCACACAAUACACAUGAGGAAGGGAAGCCUGUACCUUCUGGAUGCUCCCACUGAACGGCUUGAGGAUGCCUGACUUCUUCUUCACGUCAUCAUAAUUGGGGACCCCACCAAUGAAAAUGUCCGAGUUGCACUUAAUCUGGGUGAAGCCUCCCUGCCAACAGAUGAAAAACGAAACACGGAGCAACUUCAGAAAAAAAUGGUUAAGAUUACCAAAGGUACCUUUGGUUCCCUGUCAGGGAGCAAAUGGCAGAGACAGUCUCAACACUCAUCCUGACAAUCUGUCUACACAUUGGCUUGACCUUUGCCUUGUUUCGCAUUGCUACUUACCACCUGUUUGAAAGUAAAUUUCUUGACAUUUCUGAGACUCAGUUUCAUCAUCUAUAAAAUGCGAGCGAGUAUGGAGACUGUUCCAUCAUCAAUACCCCUCUCCCUGCAGGAAGAUUACCUCCAACCUGUCAGUCUCAAGUGGGGCUAUGUAACUUGCUUUGGUCGAUAAAGCAUAAGCAGAAGAGAAAUGAAUCACUUCUGGGCAGAGGCUUUCGGAACCAGGAGUGGGUCACCAUGCCCUCUUCCCCCGCGCCCUGUUCCUUCAGCCUGGGUCUCAGAUUAAAGCUGCAGCUGACCAUUGAUGGACAUGUAGUGUGAGAGAAAUAACUCCUUAUUAUAAGGUGCUGCUAUUUUGGGCUUAUGUGUGCCUGACUGCAGUACAGUCUAGCCUGUCCUGGCGGCUGAGAUUCCACUGAUUUAGCACUUUGCCUAGAGUUGGAUGCAGGAUCUGCGUUCCAGUAUGGCAGCUAUUGUUAUAUUCACUAAUGGUAAAGAUAGAACCUCUUUAGGCCAAGAGAAAGGGAAGGUAUGGCAGGUGGGAGGCAUUCCUUGUUAUCAAAUACAAGGGCAGAGAAAUUCUUUUCCAGGUUCUCAAAGAAUUCCCCAUUGGUACCCAAGAUGGCUCUGUAUUAUUUUUUUA